rnacentral:rRNA from 1 species
CCUACGGGCGGCAGCAGUGAGGAAUAUUGGUCAAUGGCCGUAAGGCUGAACCAGCCAAGUCGCGUGAAGGAAGAAGGAUCUAUGGUUUUUAAACUCCUUUUAUAGGGGAAUAAAGGUAUCCACGUGUGGCUAUUUGCAUUUACCCUAUGAAUAAGCAUCGGCUAACUCCGUGCCAGCAGCCGCGGUAAUACGGAGGAUGCGAGCGUUAUCCGGAUUUAUUGGGUUUAAAGGGUUCGUAGGUUGUUUGUUAAGUCAGCGGUGAAAGUUUGUGGCUCAACCAUAAAAUUGCAGUUGAAACUGGAAGACUUGAGUGUGUUUGAGGGAGGCGGAAUGCGUGGUGUAGCGGUGAAAUGCAUAGAUAUCACGCAGAACUCCGAUUGCGAAGGCAGCUUACUAAGCCAUAACUGACACUGAAGCACGAAAGCGUGGGGAUCAAACAGGAUUAGAUACCCGAGUAGUC